CACCGCGGUUAUACGAGAGGCCCAAGAUGACAGAAAUCGGUGUAAAGAGUGGUUAAGGAGUUCAUAACUAAAGUCAAACAUUUUCCGAGCUGUUAUACGCACCCGAAAAUUUGAGGAUCUAUCACGAAAGUGACUUUAAUAUACCUGACCCCACGAAAGCUAUGAAA
rnacentral:rRNA from 1 species